GCUUUCUAGCCAUGCUUCCACAUGGUGAAAUUUAUACAUGAGAAAAAUAGCUUUCCUAAUUUGACAUGAAGUAAAUUUAAGGGCCUAACUAAGAAGCAGUAACCAUGAAAAGGAUCGAUAGAUGUAGUAGUAGUACCUCAUGAUAGAAGUAUGAUUAAUCUAUCUACGACUAUACCACCAAAUUUCAUAAGCAAGCAAUCUCUCUC
rnacentral:lncRNA from 1 species